rnacentral:rRNA from 1 species
GCCCAGACUCCUACGGGAGGCAGCAGUGGGGGAUAUUGCACAAUGGGGGAAACCCUGAUGCAGCGACGCCGCGUGGGUGAAGAAGCGCCUCGGCGCGUAAAGCCCUGUCAGCAGGGAAGAAAAUGACGGUACCUGACUAAGAAGCCCCGGCUAACUACGUGCCAGCAGCCGCGGUAAUACGUAGGGGGCAAGCGUUAUCCGGAUUUACUGGGUGUAAAGGGAGCGCAGGCGGCCUGCCAAGUCUGGUGUGAAAACCCGGGGCCCAACCCCGGGCCUGCAUUGGAAACUGGCGGGCUGGAGUGUCGGAGGGGCAGGCGGAAUUCCUAGUGUAGCGGUGAAAUGCGUAGAUAUUAGGAGGAACACCGGUGGCGAAGGCGGCCUGCUGGACGAUGACUGACGCUGAGGCUCGAAAGCGUGGGGAGCAAACAGGAUUAGAUACCCCUGUA